rnacentral:lncRNA from 1 species
GGUGGUGGAGUCAUGGACCUUGUCGUGGGUGAUUGCCAUGGUGGCCACCGCAGUGGUUGCCAUGGUUAAGCCUUGUGGUGGCGAUGCCGCUCCCCCUAAGAUCACAUUUAGUCUUGUGGAUCGCCGCGGUCCCAUUUCUUGAAUAUUAGCACUUGUGGAAUUUUCUAAAUUUCUAGCCAUUGUAUUUCUCUUUCACGUUUUAUCAAAGAAUCUUUGCAAAUAAAAAUUUCUAAUAAUAAGAACGUACGAAAAAUACAAAUGGACUAGUAAAUAGAGAAAAAACUUUUUUGUGCGAGAGUCUUCUACGAGUGUGAAUCUCAACUCUCAAUGAAAGCACCAAUUUGUGGAUGCAAAUUUC